rnacentral:rRNA from 1 species
UUGUACACACCGCCCGUCGCUACUACCGAUUGAAUGGCUCAGUGAGGUCUCCGGAUUGGCUUUGGGGAGCCGGCAACGGCACCCUAUUGCUGAGAAGCUGAUCAAACUUGGUCAUUUAGAGG